rnacentral:rRNA from 1 species
AGGAAUCUUGCGCAAUGGGCGAAAGCCUGACGCAGCAACGCCGCGUGAGUGAUGAAGGCCUUCGGGUCGUAAAGCUCUGUCAGAGGGGAAGAACCACCUGUCGGUUAAUAUCCGGCAGGCCUGACGGUACCCUCAAAGGAAGCACCGGCUAACUUCGUGCCAGCAGCCGCGGUAAUACGAAGGUGGCGAGCGUUGUUCGGAUUUACUGGGCGUAAAGAGCACGUAGGCGGUUGGGUAAGCCUCUUGGGAAAUCUCCCGGCUUAACCGGGAAAGGUCGAGGGGAACUACUCAGCUAGAGGACGGGAGAGGAGCGCGGAAUUCCCGGUGUAGCGGUGAAAUGCGUAGAUAUCGGGAAGAAGGCCGGUGGCGAAGGCGGCGCUCUGGAACGUACCUGACGCUGAGGUGCGAAAGCGUGGGGAGCAAA